CUCACCGUGAUGUCAGCCUGCAAUGGUGUGCAGUGAGACGGACCGGAGGAGGGAGGAGAGGCGCACACCCACUUCCUUGGUCUGGAUCUCUGCUAACCUGGAGGCGAACCCUGUCCUCUUGCCGAAGGACUGAUCAUGGUGAAGCCCCGUCAACAGCCUCCUCAAUCCCAAACCAGCUCAGACAUGGCGUUUCUGAUCCCGCCACCUAUCGAAGAGGUUAUGAUAGGGAUGGGACAGUUUCUGAGUUUGGAAGGAGCGAGUCGGGCCAGUUGGAUUUGAAGGUGUGUGGUCCAUGCACUCAGACUGGAUUCCAAACAGUACAAGCUGAAGAUCAGACCUGGCUGCCCCUAACCCCAGAGGCCUGGAGAGGAGUGGCUGGUUCUUGCCAGAGACAUGGAAGCAGAAAGAUGAGAGAGAAGCAAGGACGUGGUCCUGGGGCAUCUCCUUGAUGUGCUUAUUUCUGGGCCAUUAAUUAACUUCACAAAGUGUUUGCAGAAAGUGAAAGGUGUGCACGCGUGUACACAUUCUCGGGACUUACCUGGUGCAGGGUCUGGACUGGAUGGAGGGAAACACGAGGUAAAUCUGAAGAGGAAGAACCACCGAGGACUAUAGAAAUUUUUCAGGGGAAAGAAAAGGUGGCAGAGAGCGUGGAGCUCCCAGCCGGUGAAAUUGAGGUUUGAGUCCCUAACUUCCAAGUCGACCAGCAUGCAGUGCCAAGGGACAGCCAGGAGGUGGCGCUGCAGCGCUUCAUUUAUCCAGGUUCCUCCGAGGUCUGUGCUUUGAGGUCUUUUGUUAUGUUUUAUUUUGGUGUUUUGCUUGCCAUGUGUGUGUGAAUUUUGUGUCUGCACUCCAGUAUUCUGGCUUGGAGAAUCCCAUGGACUGUCUAGUCCAAGGGGUCGCAAAGAGUCGCGGACUAGACUGAGCAACUUUCAUUUUCACUUUCCUGUCCUUGAACAACCUGUACCCGCCUACCUUCUUUUCAGCUUCUUUUAGGAC
ensembl:lncRNA